CCUACGGGAGGCAGCAGUAGGGAAUUUUGCGCAAUGGGGGAAACCCUGACGCAGCAACGCCGCGUGAUCGAUGAAGGCCUUCGGGGUGGUAAGAUCUUUCAGUGGGGACGUAACCUGACGGUACCCACAGAGGAAGCACCGACUAACUCCGUGCCAGCAGCCGCGGUAAUACGGGGGGUGCAAGCUUUGUCCGGAGUCAUUGGGGGUAAAGAGUUCGGAGGUGGCUCGUUAAGUCUGGUGUUAAAGGCGGAAGCUCAACUUCCGUAGGGCAGUGGAUACUGGCGAGCUUGAAUGCGGUAGAGGUAAAGGGAAUGCGUGGUGUAGCGGUGAAAUGCGUAGAUAUCAGGAGGAACAUCGGUGGCGUAAGCGCUUUACUGGGCCGUAAUUGACACUGAGGAACGAAAGCCGGGGUAGCAAAUGGGAUUAGAUACCCCAGUAGUC
rnacentral:rRNA from 1 species